rnacentral:rRNA from 1 species
UACGAAGGGGGCUAGCGUUGUUCGGAAUUACUGGGCGUAAAGCGCACGUAGGCGGAUCUAUAAGUCAGGGGUGAAAUCCCGGGGCUCAACCUCGGAACUGCCUUUGAUACUGUAGAUCUCGAGUCCGUUAGAGGUGAGUGGAAUUCCUAGUGUAGAGGUGAAAUUCGUAGAUAUUAGGAAGAACACCAGUGGCGAAGGCGGCUCACUGGAUCGGUACUGACGCUGAGGUGCGAAAGCGUGGGGAGCAAACAGG